rnacentral:rRNA from 1 species
UACGUAGGGGGCGAGCGUUGUCCGGAAUUAUUGGGCGUAAAGGGCGUGUAGGCGGUUCUGUAAGUUGGGUGUUAAAGGUAUGGGCUCAACUCAUACAUCGCAUCCAAUACUGCAGUUCUGGAGAAUGGUAUAGGAGAACGGAACUUCCGGUGUAGCGGUGAAAUGCGUAGAUAUCGGAAGGAACACCAGUGGCGAAGGCGGUUCUCUGGGCCAUUUCUGACGCUGAGGCGCGAAAGCUAAGGGAG